GGUUCCGUAGUGUAGCGGUUAUCACGUCUGCUUUACACGCAGAAGGUCUCCAGUUCGAUCCUGGACGGAACCA
rfam:Lutzomyia longipalpis Contig2782, whole genome shotgun sequence.